UACGGGGGGGGCAAGCGUUUGUUCGGAAUUACUGGGCGUAAAGGGCUCGUAGGCGGCCAACUAAGUCAGACGUGAAAUCCCCUCGGCUUAACCGGGGAACUGCAUCUGAUACUGGAUGGCUUGAGAUUGGGAGAGGGAUGCGGAAUUCCAGGUGUAGCGGUGAAAUGCGUAGAUAUCUGGAGGAACACCGGUGGCGAAGGCGGCAUCCUGGACCAACACUGACGCUGAGGAGCGAAAGCCAGGGGAGCAAACGGG
rnacentral:rRNA from 1 species